rnacentral:rRNA from 1 species
GGAGUCUGGUCCGUGUCUCAGUACCAGUGUGGGGGACCUUCCUCUCAGAACCCCUACCGAUCGAUGGAUAGGUGGGCCGUUACCCCGCCUACUUCCUAAUCGGACGCAUCCCCAUCCGCAAGCGGCUAAAGCCUUUGCUCCCACUCCGAGGACGUCAUGGGAGGUAUGGGGGAUUAAUCCGACUUUCGCCGGGCUAUACCCCGCUCGCGGGUAGGUUGGAUACGCGUUACUCACCCGUGCGCCGGUCGCCAUCACAGAUAGCAAGCUACCUGCAUGCUGCCCCUCGACUUGCAUGUGUUAAGCCUGUAGCUAGCGUUCAUC